rnacentral:tRNA from 1 species
CGGGGCGUAGCGCAGUUGGUAGCGCGCGCGCUUUGGGAGCGCGAGGUCGACGGUUCAAAUCCGUCCGCCCCGA